GCCCCCGUCGUCUAGUGGCCAAGGAUACGGGCUUCUCGAGCCUGGGACCCGGGUUCAAAUCCCGGCGGGGGCG
rnacentral:tRNA from 1 species